AAAAUUUUUAUUUCAUACAGUUAUAGCGAAUCCAAAAAAUAAAACAAUUAUAAAAAAUUCUACUGGAAUAAAAGAAAUAAGUAAACAAGUUCCUCGAUGGUCAUACAAAUUAAUUGACGAUUUGGAACAACAAGAGGGAGAAAAUGAAGAAAACAUGUCGGAAGAUUAUGAAAUUCGUUCACGAAAAGCCAAACGGGUAGUGAUUUUUACUGAUAAUAAAAAAAAUACAGAUACUUAUAAUAAUAC
rnacentral:misc_RNA from 1 species